CUUUCAUUUCCUUCAAAGGAACCCGAUCAUGAGGCCUUUUUGGCCCUGAUACGCAAGGUUCCACAUCCUCAAGAUUCAAUUCUAGAUAUGAGGAGUAUACCCUAUCAAUCUGGGGCUCACCAUAGUCAACAAACAUCUUGUUAGCUCUUAAAUAGGAUUCUAUCAUAGAGACAGUUUCAUCACUUCUGCCGGUCAAUUUGAGAUAAUGCAGAGUAACAUGAUCCACAGGAAAAAAGCCCAUGGUUGCACCAUACUCAGGAGACAUGUUUGCAAUAGUAGCACGGUCUGCUAAUGAUAGUUCACCCAUGCCUUCGCCAUAGAACUCCACAAACUUGCCAACAACCCC
rnacentral:misc_RNA from 1 species